rnacentral:rRNA from 1 species
CCGGCGCACGGGUGAGUAACACGUAUGGAACCUGCCCUAUGCAGGGGGAUAAGCGGAAGAAAUUCCGUCUAAUACCGCAUAACACCAUUUGGAGACAUCUCCAGGUGGUCAAAGGAGGCGACUCCGGCAUAGGAUGGCCAUGCGUCGCAUUAGGCAGUAGGCGGGGUAACGGCCCACCUAACCGACGAUGCGUAGGGGUUCUGAGAGGAAGGUCCCCCACACUGGUACUGAGACACGGACCAGACUCCUACGGGAGGCAGCAG